ensembl:lncRNA
CAAAUUGUGAAAACAUUCAAGCCUGUCAAGCUUCUUGUACACCCAAUCCAAGAAGAACUGGUAUGAAAAAUUUACAAAAAAAGGCCAGAAAAUGAGAUAACUGUCAGACCAGAAAGGCUUGUCUGACCAGGUAUGACUUCCUCAACCUAGGCUUGUCCAGACCGAUGGAGUCAAAAAAAUCGAGACUCAUCAGACCAGGCAACAUUCUUCCAGUCUUCAACUGUCCAAUUUUGUUUAGGUUGAGAGGAAUUGUGAUGACUGCGCCCUCUACUGCCUCUCCUCCCCCUGCAGCAGGCAGGCUCCAGCGGUCGACAUCACCGGUCUUCUAACACCACCGCCCAUCUCAUUCAUUAAUUUCACCUGUUGUCUUGUUUAGUGCAUCUAGUCCUCAUUCUACUCAUUCCCCCCAGUAUAUAUGUUCCCUCUGCUUCCCCUGUCUUUGUGUGUUAUUGUCUCG